CGGCGGUGGUUUUAUUCCGAUCAGCGGUCGAGACGAAGCAGACGCACUGGGGUCAUAGCUCGGAAGCCAAAAAUAAAAUGUGAAAAAUUGGAGAGAGAGAAAGUGUAGAAGGUUACGACUGAGUCAUUUGCUGUUAGAGAGAAGAUGGAAGAUCCGAGGAAGAGGAGAGAGCGUGGGAGCGGGAACGAAGAAGAAGACGACGACUUUUCCGUUUUCUGAGGUUAGAAGAAGAAAUAAUGAUCCUCUGUGGUAGAGUGCACCGUUAUGCCAGGGACGUGCGUGCA